UACAGAGGUGGCGAGCGUUAUUCGGAAUUAUUGGGCGUAAAGGGCGCGUAGGCGGCCAAGCAAGUCCUGGGUGAAAUCCCUCGGCUCAACCGAGGAACUGCCUCGGAAACUGCAUGGCUCGAGGCCGGGAGAGGGUAGCGGAAUUCCCAGUGUAGCGGUGAAAUGCGUAGAUAUUCGGUGGAACACCAGUGGCGAAGGCGACUCGCUGGACUGAUACUGACGCUGAGGUGCGAAAGCGUGGGGAGCAAACAGG
rnacentral:rRNA from 1 species